CUCAGUUAUAGUUACUAAUUUAUUAAAAGAAAUUAAUUAUCAUCACUAUAUGAUUAAUUUUUUGUUCAAAUAUAAAACAUGGAUCAGUACCAACAUUAUAAUUUAACCGUAGUUGUCAAUGAAUGACUGAGUGCUGAUAUUAUCAGGCAGGAGUCAAUACUAUCGGUUAUCUUUAACAACUGAGUUACGCUAGACAAAUUGAUUUAUUGAGUCAUGCUGUUUGAGCUUUGUACGGAAUAAUUGAUAAUUGUCUAAAUGUUAGUAAUGAUUAUAAAAAUAUAUCAAGAACGUUACAAGAAAAUAUUGACAAAAUAUAAAAACUUAUUUAUACACGAUUAUUAAAAAUUAUAGAUGUUUCCUCAAAGUAUGCGAGUCAAUACAGGAGCAGAAAUGUCCUAACAACUCGGACUUAUCAAAUGUCCCUUCUCUUGCAAUAAGCAAACUACACGCAAGUGCUGUUACAUCUGCAUGAAUAAUACUUUUGCAAAUACACAGAUGAAUACAAAUGUAUAGCUUCGGGUGGAAGAGCGUAUCUCGUGGUGAGGGCCCAGGAUGAGGUGAAGAUCAGACUUGAUGGGUACAGACUUAUUGCAAUUCGACUGUAAUUGGAUGUUGAUUGUGAUUCAAUACUCAAACCAAGAAAUAAUUAAAAUCCAAAAAUAGAUUCACUUUUUCCGAUGGGUCAGCGGGGAAUUCACUGACACAUAAUGUUUUCUUCUUAUUCAGACAACUUUUUAUGGAAAUGUAAUUUUUUUUUCCACUUGAUAUGAUAUUUAGUGGAAGAUUAUUUAGAAAUUAUAUUGAGUAAUUACCAUGUUUACAAUAUUUAUAUUUGUUGCCAUGCUCGUUUGGUUUAUCAAUUAUGCUGUCAUUGCUAUGACUUUCCAAUCAAAAAAUAGAAGAGUUAUUUCACUUUGAAGUGGAAUUAUGAAAAACUUGACAAAAAAACAGAAGUUACAAGUUUUUAUAACGUGUAAACUUUUUCAUCAUAUUGUAAAUAAAUUGGUUGGCAUCUGAAUUCUAUUUGGGUCAAUGAUUAUCUUUUAUUCUUAACUAUCUAACGUAAGCAUUAAAUUGGGCUACAGUAAAUUCAUUUAAAAUGUAUUAUUAUAGCAUAUACUCAGAGAUAAAUAUAUUUCUAGAUGGACUUGAAUUAAUUAUUAUUGAAGAAAAUACAUCAACUCUGACUAAAAUAUUGUGUGUUGAUUUUCAAAUUCAGAUCUUUACUUUGUAGGAUAAAUAUUCGUUAUGUACAAAGUUUUGAUCUUACAACUUGCUAUAUCUUCCAUUUCCACCAUUUGCAAAUAUUAUAAGUUGCCAAAAACUAUGGAGAAAUGUAAAAUUUUAUAAUAUAGUCUAAUAGAAAUAUGUUAAUUCAUUAACUAACAUUUUCUGAAUACUUAAAAGCUGAGUCCCAAUAGUAUAAAAAUUCUAUUUUGCAAAAAUUAAUUUUUUUUUU